rnacentral:lncRNA from 1 species
GCUUUCCUCUGGGGCAGCCUGGGUUGCCAUGAUAAGGAGGGGUUGGAUUUUCCAUGUGCUGGUGUUAUUUCUGUGGAAUCAUGGAGCCCCUGCCAUGCUUUGGUGUUGGAGAAGACACACAAAAGGAAGGGGAAUUGGGAGGACAGAUACCUCAGCCUGCUGAUAAAGGGAUUUCUGGUGAGGUGAUGAUUCAGGAGGCACAAGGAUUGCCCUGGUUCUGGAGUGGUGCCCACGCAGGGAGAGGGGAAGAAGCACUUCCAGCAUGGGAUUGGUGCCUCUGGCUCCUCCAUCCUCUGCUUCUCCACACGUGCUCUGAGGAGCUACCAGAUCCACAGCCUGUUUGCAGCCAUGCUGUAAUUGCUGCUGGAGAAGCCUUUUCGUUGGGGGAGAGAACAAGUAGCAGCACGACAGCUCAGAACAAACCCUCUCCCAUCUUCCCAGGGCACAUUUUGUACACCAGAACAGAGAUCCCAGCUCAGAGAUGCCCAUCUCCAGCCCAGAGGGGUCCCAGCCCCACUGCCCCAGCAGAAGGGAGCAACUGA